rnacentral:rRNA from 1 species
UACGUAGGGUGCGAGCGUUGUCCGGAAUUACUGGGUGUAAAGCGCGUGUAGGCGGGAGGCCAAGUCUGUGGUGAAAUCGCUCGGCUUAACUGGGCGGGGUCCAUGGAAACUGGUCACCUGGAGGUCGGUAGAGGCAAGUGGAAUUCCCGGUGUAGUGGUGAAAUGCGUAGAGAUCGGGAGGAACACCAGUGGCGAAGGCGGCUUGCUGGGCCGGACCUGACGCUGAGACGCGAAAGCUGGGGGAGCGAACGGG